UGAGAUUUUUUUAUUGUUCUUUGCAUUUGUGUGUCCAAUUCCAACUGCCAUGCUUUUCAUUUUUGGGUUGUGCCACGUUGCUCUGUUUGCUUCUGGAUUCUGAGUUGUGAGUUUUAAAAUUCCCGUAGAUGCCUGUGUUACCUUCCAGGGCGUUUGUUUUAUUGUUUUUUGUUGUGCCAGGGUGUUCGAUGCUAAAGCUUUCCAAUGGGUUGGUGUUUUGUAUCAUCCUGUUAUCGUGGUUUGCGGGUGUUGGGAAUUUUUGUGCAUGUGUGUGUUAUGUUUUUUCAGUGCUUUUUGGUUUCAUUUUGGUUGGCUUGAUUUUCCAGUUCUCUUGCAUGGAUGUUUCUUUUGUCUUUGUUUGUUUGUUGACGCGUAGGUUGAGGGAGCUGGUGCCGGAGCAAGCAAAAAGCCAUGCCUCAACUACGCGGUUGCCUCAUAGGUUCCGCUAUUGUUCAAAUUCAGGUUUUUCCUUUCUUCUUCUUCUUCUUAUUAUUAUUACCCUAACCCUAACCUUAGCUAUUCGAAUUCCACUCCUCUUCGCGAAAUCAUGGCGACGACUUUGGUGAGCUCUGUGGGUGGGAUGCUUGCAAUGCUGAACGAGCCACAUCUCUCGGUGAAGCUUCACGCUCUCUCCAACCUCAACAACUUGGUCGAGACCUUCUGGCCUCCUCUGGUGGAUUCACUCAACUAUGCUGUAAGUGCAGGUAUGCAUAUUCCAAGGGAAUCCAGAAACUCAAGGACUCAAAGUUAGCAACUUCAGCGAAUAUCAACAAUGAUCAGUUUGGUCACAAAUUUGAAAUUUCAUGCAAAGCACCAAUGAAAAAAGGUGGGGAAAUAAACAAAAACAAGUGAAGGCAAUUUGUACCAAAUAUCAGUGUUGAUCAAAGAACCCAAUACAGCAAAGCACCAAGAAAGGAAACAUUGGUCGGAGGCUGUGAAAACCUGAUAGUGUCAUCAUAUCACAGGCUUAAGGUUGGAAAACAAUCUCCGAGGUGCUUCUGAUAUGUGAUGAUUGAGGACAAAAUUGGCUUUAUCCUGUGCUGAGUUGUACACAUAACUUAAAAAUGAAUGUAAGAUUAUUCCUGAUGUGGUGAACCUUCUCCAACAAAUACAGCUGGUAGUUUGGGCUGAGGCAGGCCAAUUUCAUUACCUAACAUCAUAACUACAGAUGACAUGUUUGGCCUGUCAUGUGGAUGAUGCUGCAGACACAGAAGACUGAUAUGGAUGCAGCACAGAGCUUCAGAGAGAUUGCAAGAAUCUGUUCAGCAUUCACUAAUCAAUUCUAAAGGCCUCCCUUCUUACCACAAAUCCCAUGCCUAGAACACAAAGUCGAUGAGGCCAUAUGUGUUGGUUUAGAAGAUUUAUGAUGAAUAGCUCCUUCAAUUCCUAUCAUUGCCAAUGUCAUCAUUAGUGAACAUCUUUUUGAGGUGCUAAGUUCAUCAACUGAUGGCCGCCUUCAGAUCCCCAUCUAUGACAAGUACCUCAUUGGCCUAGAAAGUUUACGUCAUUUUUGUUGGUUGUGCUUCUCUCGUUUUCUCUUUUUCCUGCGGCAUUGUCUCUGGUUCGUGGGUUCGUUGGGAACGGUUAGGUGCGGUGAAGGUGAAGGUACCGGUGUUGAGCGUUGCGGUGGUCGGUGGCAGCAAACAAGGCACGCAGAAGGUGGUGACUGUGUCGGGAAUGUACGGAUCACUUACGGAUCAAGUUGGUGUGUUAGUCUUAUGGAUCAAGUUGAUCAGUAAGUGACUUACGGAUCAACUUGAUCUGUAAGUGUAACACACCAAGUUACGGAUCAAGUUGAUCCGUAAGAAUAAUUAUUUUUAGUAUUUGAUGUUUUUUGAAUUUAGUUUCCUUUUUUUCUUUGAGUUGAUUAGAUGGACGAAGAUGAGUGGAUGUAUGAAAUAAUGUCUGGACAAGCGGAUAUAGAUUAUGAAAAUGCAGAAGCAUGUGGUGCAAAUGAACCACAUGUUGAUUGUUUCAAUGCAUUCAAUACUUCUCAGGUAUUUGAGUGCCAAGAGGAUGUUUUUUGAUGGGCUCGAUCCAUUACUCAUGAAAACGGAUUUGUGGCGGUGAUUUUAAGGUCGGACACAAACACAAGUACUAAAGGAAGGACUAUGUUUGUGUUAAUUGGAUGUGAAAGGAGUGGCGAGUAUAGGUGUAGGAAAAAAGAAUUUAUCAGAAGAGACACUGGGACUAGGAAAUGUAGGUGUCCCUUCAAGCUUUGUUACAAGCCAGUGAUUGGAGGAAAAGGCUGGAUGGUGAAGUUGAUUUGUGGAGUGCAUAAUCAUGAAUUGGCCAAGUCAUUAGUUGGACAUCCAUAUGCGGGGCGAUUGACUAAAGCUGAAAAAACACUUAUUGCUGAUAUGACGAAGUCCAUGGUGAAGCCAAGAAACAUUCUGCUAACUCUGAAGGAACACAAUGCCAAUAGUUGUACGACCAUUAAACAGAUGUACAAUGCAAGAAGUGCAUUUCGUUCUUCCAUAAGAGGAAGCGAUCUUGAAAUGCAACAUCUGAUGAAGCUUCUUGAACGUGAUCAGUAUAUUCAUUGGCAUAGAAUAAAGGAUGAAGACGUGGUUCGUGAUAUCUUUUGGUGUCACCCUGAUGCAAUGAAAUUAGUCAACACAUGUAAUUUGGUGUUUUUGAUAGACAACACCUAUAAAACACACCGGUACAAACUCCCAUUGCUUGAUUUUGUUGGGGUGACACCGAUUGAGAUGACAUUCUCUGCCGGUUUUGCAUAUGUGGAGGGUGAACGCGUUAAUAAUUUGGUCUAGGCUUUACAACGAUUCCGAGGCCUUUUUUUAAAGCGUGAUGCCCUCCCUGGAGUUAUUGUCACUGACAGAGACCAAGCAUUGAUGAAUGUAGUGAAGGCUGUAUUCCCUGACUGUACAAAUUUGUUGUGCAGCUUUCACAUAAACAAGAAUGUGAAGGCCAAAUGUAAAUCACUAAUUGGGCAAAAAAAUGUUUGGGAUUAUGUCAUGGAUUGUUGGGGAUGUCUGACUGAUUGUCCUUCAGAACAACAAUUUGAUGAAUGCCUGAAGAAAUUCGAAAUGGCUUGCGCACCUUAGCCAAUGUUUGUUGACUAUGUCAAGGAAACAUGGAUAAUACCACACAAGGAAAAAUUUGUUUCCACCUGGACUAAUAAGGUAAUGCACUUAGGAAACACAACAACAAACAUGAUUGAAUAUGCUCACUCGUCUUUAAAAAGAUUGUUACAAAAUAGCCUUGGAGACUUAUGCAGUAUGUGGGAUGCCAUGAACAACAUGAUUACGUUGCAGCACACGGAGAUUAAAGUAUCAUUUGAAACAAGUACACAUGUCGUUGGACAUAUGUUAAAAAAAACCUUAUACAGGAGGCUUCUUGGAAUGGUUUCAAGGUAUGCUUUAAAUCAGAUUGCUACUGAAUUAGAGCAUGUUGACUAUGCUGGCAAGAAUCCCUCAAGUUGUGGUUGCAUGGUGAGAACCACGCUUGGUCUUCCAUGUGCUUGUGAGCUAUCCAAAUAUGUUGGUGGUUGCAUCCCACUGGAUUUAAUCCAUAUGUUUUGGAGGAGACUAAGUUUUUCAGACCAAGGGUUAUCUGAGCCCGAAGUGAGCAUCAAGGUAGAAAUAGAAACAAUAUCCAAAAAAUUCGAAGAACUUGAUGUUUGUGGCAAGUUUACUCUGAAGACUAAACUUUGGAAAAUUGCAUACCUUGAUCAGAAUUCGAUGUGUCCUCCUCCAGCAAAGGUUAACACAAAGGGGGCACCGAAGAAAGCUAUGAGCAGGAACCCAAGGUCAACAAAGCGCGAUCCAUCUUAUUGGGAGUAUGUAGAUGCCUUUGAAUCUAUGCAAAAUAGCAAUGCGUCGGUGAGGCGUACUGCAUCAUCCUCUGAGCAAGCAAAUCAAAGAACGAUGAUACCCAUGUUGGACUAGUUUCAGCCAUUUAUGCACAACUUCAUUGAUAAGAUUGUUGAUUGUUAACUCGUUGGCAAGUGUACCAAAUUGUCACAAGUAGUAAAGUACUCGGAAGUCCGAGUGUCGAAUCCACAUGAACUUUGUU